GCCCUAUAGCCCUGUGGCUCUGUGGCUCUGUGGCUCUGGUCUGCUUCCUAUCUCUAAUGUGGCAAGACUAUACUGUGUGGAGGCUCCCCAUCACCCCUCUAAGUUUUCAUAAUCUUCUGUAAUGAGGAGAUGCCCACAGAUGAUAUUCCAAGUUAAGCAGUGAACUCAAUAUGAAUAGAUUUGAACCACUAGCCCAGCUCCUCCCAUGAAGAACUAACUCUAGGACAGACCGGAGUGGGACACGUAUGUGCUUCAUACACUUUCUGCUACCGUGCACCUGGGUGACCCAGAGCUGCAUGAGGUCAUGAUACCUGCACUCCCAGACAUUUUUAACGUCUGAAGAGGUAUGCUUCUGCACUGAGGAGGCAGACUCAGGAGAAUCUCUGAAUUUGAGGCCAGCUUGGUCCACACAAAGGUUCCAAGCUAACCAGAACCACAUGAUGAGAGCCUGUCUCAAAAAAAAAAAAAAAAA